rnacentral:rRNA from 1 species
GACGAACGCUGGCGGCGUGCCUAAUACAUGCAAGUAGGACGCAGUUGCGAACGGGUGAGUAACGCGUAGGUAACUACCUAUACGAGGGGGAUAACUAUUGGAAACGAUAGCUAAUACCGCAUACUAGCAGAUGGACCUGCGUGGUAUUAGCUAGUAGGUAGGGUAAUGGCCUACCUAGGCAAAGAUACAUAGCCGACCUGAGAGGGGGAUCGGACAAAAUGGGACUGAGAAACGGCCCAGAAUACGACGGGAGGCAGCAGGAGGGAAGCUUCGGCAAUGGGGGGAACCCUUAACGGGCAACGCCGCGGGAGUGAAGAAGGUUUUCGGAUCGUAAAGCUCUGUUGUUAAGGAAGCGGUACUUAACCAGAAAGGGACGGCUAACUACGUGCCAGCAGCCGCGGUAAUAC